AAUACUAUAUCCGAAAGAGAAUAAGUUGUUAUCUAGUGACAAACAAUAAGUAUAAGAAAUUUAUUUUAAAUGGGUCCAUCACAAAACGACAAUACAAACAAUAUUAAAAGAAAUACACUCAACAUUGUCUUUCAAUCUUCAAAACGUGAAAGAUGGAUCAAACAGAUUGAUCUAAAGAGUCAAAUUUUAUAAAAAAAUCCCUCUUGUGUGAAGAAAAGAAAUAGCUGCAGAGUUCUGAAAAUGCCAUUGUGCAAAAAAAAUAAGGAAAAC
rnacentral:lncRNA from 1 species